AGACCCCUUCUCCCCCGGGCGGUUUAAGCCGCACCAUGGGGAUCCAGGGCCUGCUCCAGUUCAUCAAGGAGGCUGCUGAGCCUGCUCACGUGAAGAAAUACAAAGGGCAGGCGGUAGCGGUGGACACCUACUGCUGGCUGCACAAGGGCGCCUAUACGUGUGCUGAAAAGCUGGCCCGAGGAGAGCCGACAGAUCUUUAUGUGGCUUUCUGUAUGAAACUUGUUGAUAUGCUCCUCUCAUUUGGAAUUAAACCUAUUUUGGUGUUUGAUGGAUGCACCCUACCUUCGAAGAAGGAAGUGGAAAAGGCCCGACGAGAGAAGCGUCAAGCCAGUCUUCUGAAGGGCAAACAAUUGUUGCAGGAAGGGAGACUGUCGGAAGCUAGGGAGUGUUUUGGGCGCAGUAUAAAUGUUACCCAUUUUAUGGCUCAUGAAGUUAUUAAAGCUGCUCGAGCCCGGGGAGUUGAUUGUAUUGUUGCUCCGUAUGAAGCUGAUGCUCAGUUGGCUUAUCUUAAUAAGAGUGGCAUGGUUCAAGCCAUAAUUACAGAAGACUCUGAUCUUCUAGCUUUUGGGUGUAAAAAGGUGUUUCUGAAAAUUGACAAGUUUGGAAAUGGACUAGAAAUCGAUCAAGCUCGACUAGGAAAUUGCAAGCAGCUUGGAAACGUAUUUACAGAAGAGAAAUUCCGCUACAUGUGUAUUCUUUCUGGUUGUGACUACCUCCCAUCAAUUCAUGGAAUUGGGUUAGGCAAAGCAUGCAAGUUACUAAAAUUAGCCAACAAUCCAGAUAUUACAAAGGUUAUUAAGAAAAUGGGGCAAUACUUGAAGAUGAAUAUAACAGUACCAGAAGAAUACAUACAGGGUUUUAUGCGAGCCAAUAAUACGUUCCUUUAUCAGUUAGUUUUUGAUCCUGUCAACAGAAAAUUAGUUCCUCUGAAUCCAUAUGGGGAUGAUAUUGAUCCAGAAACGCUAAUUUAUGCAGGACGACAUUUUGGUGAUGAUACUGCUUUUCAGAUUGCCGUUGGCAACAUUGAUAUUGAUACAAUGGAACAAAUUGAUAAUUAUAACCCUGACACUGCACAGUCUGUGCAGCAGAGAAGUAGUGGCUGGAAUGACAGAUGUGCUAAUCAUGUAAAUAGCAUUUGGAGCAGAGACUACAAGUUUGGCUGUAAUGCAGAUACCGUUCCUCAUAAAAUACAUUUGCUAGAGAAACCAACAACCAAAGGCAUGGAGAAGAUAAUUAGUGUGAAAGGGCUAAAACUUCCAGGCAAAGAGCUCUUGGCAAAAAGGCUGAGGAGUGAAGAAAUCACGGAUGGAGAUCUGUUGAGCCAAUACUCAUUUUCAACAGCAAAAAAAGUCAAGAAGGAAAGUGAUCAUGACAGUCAAGCCCAGAAGAGUGUCUCAGCAAUACAAAGCCUUGAUUCUUCAGGGGAUUCUGUCACUCAAAGCUCUGACUCCCUGCCCAGAGUUAGAAAUAAAUUUGCUUCCUUUCUACAAAGGAAAAACAAGGAGAAGGAUGCUGUAGUUGUUCCAGGAACAAGAAGCAGGUUUUUCUUCAAUGAUGCAAUUAUCUUUGAUGUUAGAGCAGAGAAGGAUGAUCGUGAUGUAAUUCGAGAUGUUGAACAGGAUUGCCAGGAACAGGAAGUAAAACAUGUAGCAGAUGAUGUUUCUCAGUUUUCAGAAACUGAAAAAUCAACAAGGACUGUCUUUACACCUCCUGGAGAAAUGCAGAAAAACUGCUUUCAGUGGUUGAGCAGCCCUGUAAAUAAUUCAGAAAACCCUGGUCCAUCUCAUACUGUAUGUUCACAGCAGUUUCACCAACAGAGAAGCAACUGUGUGGUAUCCCAGGAAGAUCAGAGUAAUGGGGUACAAGUGGAGAGUGAGGCAGUGUGUGGCAAAUUAGAGGAAGAAUCCUCCACCUUAACAGAACUGGAACAGUCAUCAGAGUCUCAAAGGUCUCGGGAGCCGUCAAAAUGCAGUUUGGAGUCUUCAGAAAGACUGCAAGUCCAACUGAACAACAGUUCAGAUAGAGAAGUAUCUGACUCCAGUUUAAAACUGGCUGAUGAUCAAUGUGCUUGGUCUCCAGUAUUUUCUGCUGUUCAAACUGACAGAAAAAAUACAGUCAUAAAGACGAAGGUUCCUGGCUUACGUAAAUCCAGUUGUAUAGGGUCACAUAUUGUAACAAAGCUCAAGCCAUUGAUACCAGCUAAGGUAAGCGGAUUAAGCAGGAAGCUGUCACCUGUGCAGAAGAGAAAUCACUGCGAUGCUGAAAAUAAGCUGGGACUGCAAGAUGCCAUUAGCGAACUCCGCAAGAACUUCCAGUUUAAAAGAGAGUAUGAAAAACUUCCUUCUUGUAAAAAGUCAGAUCCGUUAUCUCCAAUCAAAGAUAAUAUACAGCUCACUCCAGAAACAGAAGACAUCUUUAAUCAUCUGGAACACAGUCAUGUUCAGAGAGCUAUAUUCCAAUGAACUGCAUGCUGUGCACAAUGGGAUGCAUUUUUAAUCGUUGUCAAAACUUACCUUCUGGAUAUUUCAUCAAUAUAGAAAAGAUGCUUUGAAAACCACCUAUGUAUUUUAGUCUGACUAGUGAUUUAUCAUCUUUUAUAAAAGCUUGAAUAGAAAGCUGCCCCUGGGCACCUUAUGUAGGUCACAGGCAAUCUAGACUUCUACAAUAGCUAUGGCUUUGCCUUUGCACAACAGCAGCAGAGCAGGUUUGUGUCUUAAUUUUUAAUAGUUGAUUUUUAUUUUUUUUUUGCCUUGUCCUUCUUUCUCUUUGGGCCUAAUCUAGCUCCAAGACAGGAGUGAAACUGCUAUUCAGUGUUCAUAACAUCCUUCACUAUACUUCCAGCACUGAUAACUAUUUCUUUUCCCUACAAGGUAAGAUCUGCUCUCUAAACAAUUAGCUGUUUAAUACAGUCAUGUUAUUGGUGGGAAUAACUUGGGGACUGCAGAAAGGAAUAUCACAAAUAUUUGGUCUGCAGAUUCUCUGAAAAAAUACAAUGGUUCCUCUGUUUUGCCUGCUCUUUCCAUCUUUGUAGUCUUAUCCAGUAAUAGACACAAAGUAUCAGUCCUCAGAGCUAAGAGUUACAAAAUAACUUUGUCCUCACAAUAAACCAAGCUUCAGUCUUCAACAGCCAGUCAACUACAGGGAAAGACUAGGGUCCUUGCUUUGGAUGACUGAAUUAUGAAAUAAUGUGAUGGGAUUUCAGAUUUCUACCUUUAAAAUGAGGAUUUGAGUCUAUAUUGACUCAUAUGUCUAUAUGAUAAAUGAUAUAAAUAAAAAAAAUGAUAAAAUCAAGAUAUGUCUAAAUUUUUUCCCCUUUUUUAGGAAAGGAUAGUAUCUCUGCAGCAGAUGAAGGUACAAAAGGAUAUCUUAACCUGUGAAAUGUAUCCUUUCCAUUCCUGAGAGCGCUGAGCUUUAAGCAAAAAAUUAAAGUUGGAAAUCGACUUAUGAGAGGCAGAUUUUUUAACUGCAAUGGACUUGUUUCUCUUAAAUAGAAACUACAGUGACUGGCUGUGUUAAAUUACAAAGAAGCUGCUUACAAGAGUAGGCUGUGUGUACGUUUGUGGGAGCAGUCCCCUUGCCUUCAAACAAAUGUUGAAGUAAUGGGACAUAAAGAACUGAAGCAAUGAUACUCUAGCACAGGCUUUUACUGAAAAGCAGGGGUUUUAACAUUGAUCUUCAGUAAGAGUUAUCAUCUCUGGUAUGAUGUGACAAAGGCCAGGGAUAAAUAUUUCUGUUUCCAGUCAUAGAUUGAUUGCCUAGAAUUAAUUUUUGUGUUGCUACAAACACAAUAAGGACCAAAUGAAGUUUUGAAGAGAAAACAAAAAUAACUAUUGUCCUCCAUUGUUUAUCACUGUGGGAGUUGCAAGGUUAUUUUGUACAUUUCAUCCUUGCCUGUUGUCUGCCUGUUCAGUCAAAAAGCCACUUGUUUCUUGCUUUAGUGGAUCACCAGAAGAAACAAACUAUUGGUGUUUGUAUUUUCAAGGACGGGUAAUUUUAAGGGGAUAUAGGACAUCUUACAUGUAAGCUACAUGUGUGAAAGCAGUACUGCCUCUUCUAAUUCUGUUGCCUGCAAAUACCACCUUACCUGUUCUUGUAGUUCAUUUAUUGAGAAUACUAUCACUUCCUUUACUCUAGCUUCUUUGAAGAGAGAAUCGGGAAAUAAAGCAAGUGUUAUACAUACCUCCAUAGUGACGCUUAUUUUGUCAUAAAUUAGUGCCUUGCUUCUUUUGCUGUAUACUUCUGUAUGAACAGGAGAGUAAAAACGUAGUUGAUG